rnacentral:RNase_P_RNA from 1 species
UGGGCCGGCCAGACGGUCGCGUCGAGCGCACGCCCCGCGAGGGGAACGGCCUCGCCGAGGAACGUCCGGGCUCCGUAGAGCAGGGCGGUGGGUAACACCCACCCGGAGAAAUCCGCGAGAACAGUGCAACAGAGAGCAGACCGCCUCCGGCUCCGGCCGGCGGUAAGGGUGAAACGGUGGUGUAAGAGACCACCAGGGGCCCGAGUGAUCGGGCUCGCUGGGUAAACC